rnacentral:tRNA from 1 species
GCGGGCGUGGCGGAACUGGCAGACGCGCUAGACUUAGGAUCUAGUGGGUUUUUCCUGUGAGAGUUCGAAUCUCUCCGCCCGCACCA